UGUGUGUGUGUGUGUGUGUGCACGCGCCUGUGAGCAUGUUUGUGUACACACACACACACACACACACACACACACACACA
rnacentral:miRNA from 1 species